GGCAGCUUUUGCCAUUUCCAUGAUAUCACCAGUGUUAUUAGAGUUGGACAUUG
rnacentral:sRNA from 14 species